UACGGAGGGUGCAAGCGUUAUCCGGAUUUACUGGGUUUAAAGGGUGCGUAGGUGGGUUGGUAAGUCAGUGGUGAAAUACUUUCGCUUAACGAAGGAACUGCCAUUGAUACUACCAGUCUUGAAUACAGUGGAGGUAGGCGGAAUGCGUCAUGUAGCGGUGAAAUGCUUAGAUAUCGGGAGGAACAUCAGUGGCGAAGGCGGCCUUCUGGUCCAGUACUGACACUCAAGUGCGAAAGCGUGGGGAGCAAACAGG
rnacentral:rRNA from 1 species